UGGGGAAUUUUGGACAAUGGGCGAAAGCCUGAUCCAGCAAUGCCGCGUGCAGGAUGAAGGCCUUCGGGUUGUAAACUGCUUUUGUACGGAACGAAAAGCUUCUCCUAAUACGAGAGGCCCAUGACGGUACCGUAAGAAUAAGCACCGGCUAACUACGUGCCAGCAGCCGCGGUAAUACGUAGGGUGCGAGCGUUAAUCGGAAUUACUGGGCGUAAAGCGUGCGCAGGCGGUUAUGUAAGACAGAUGUGAAAUCCCCGGGCUCAACCUGGGAACUGCAUUUGUGACUGCAUGGCUAGAGUACGGUAGAGGGGGAUGGAAUUCCGCGUGUAGCAGUGAAAUGCGUAGAUAUGCGGAGGAACACCGAUGGCGAAGGCAAUCCCUGGACCUGUACUGACGCUCAUGCACGAAAGCGUGGGGAGCAAACAGGAUUAGAUACCCUGGUAGUCCACGCCCUAAACGAUGUCAACUGGUUGUUGGGAAUUAGUUUUCUCAGUAACGAAGCUAACGCGUGAAGUUGACCGCCU
rnacentral:rRNA from 1 species